GCCGGCUUAGCAAGUCUCCUGUUAAAUUCAGCGACCUAAUCGUUGGGCCGCGGGAGAUACUACUAGGCUAGGAGGCGGGAGAGGCCGACGGUAUUCUCGGGGUAGGGGUGAAAUCCUAUAAUCCCGAGAGGACCACCAGUGGCGAAGGCUGUCGGCUAGAACGCGCUCGACGGUGAGGGACGAAAGCUGGGGGAGCGAACCGGAUUAGAUACCCGGGUAGUCCCAGCUGUAAACGAUGCGGGCUAGGUGUUGGGGUGGCUACGAGCCACUUCAGUGCCGCAGGGAAGCUGUUAAGCCCGCCGCCUGGGGAGUACGGCCGCAAGGCUGAAACUUAAAGGAAUUGGCGGGGGAGCACCACAAGGCGUGAAGCUUGCGGUUCAAUUGGAGUCAACGCCGGGAACCUUACCGGGGGCGACAGCAGGAUGAAGGCCAAAUUAAAGGUCUUGCCAGACAAGCUGAGAGGAGGUGCAUGGCCGUCGCCAGUUCGUGCCGUGAGGUGUCCUGUUAAGUCAGGCAACGAUCGAGACCCGCGCCCCUAGUUGCUACCGAGGAAGUUUUCCAAAGGGCACUCUAGGGGGACUGCCGUCGAUAAGGCGGAGGAAGGAGCGGGCUACGGCAGGUCAGUAUGCCCCGAAUCUCCCGGGCCACACGCGAGCUGCAAUGGCAGGGACAAUGAGUUCCAACCUUGAAAAGGGGAGGUAAUCUCGAAACCCUGCCUCAGUUGGGAUCGAGGGCUGCAACCCGCCCU
rnacentral:rRNA from 1 species